rnacentral:tRNA from 1 species
AGAAAUUUAGGUUAACAAAACCAAAAGCCUUCAAAGCUUUUAAUAGAAGUGAAAAUCCUCUAACUUCUG